rnacentral:rRNA from 1 species
UACGUAGGGUGCGAGCGUUAAUCGGAAUUACUGGGCGUAAAGAGUGCGUAGGCGGUUCGUUAAGUCAGCUGUGAAAGCCCCGGGCUCAACCUGGGAACUGCGGUUGAAACUGGCGAACUAGAAUCUGGCAGAGGGGGGUGGAAUUCCACGUGUAGCAGUGAAAUGCGUAGAGAAUGUGGAGGAACACCGAUGGCGAAGGCAAUCCCCUGGGCCUGCACUGACGCUCAUGCACGAAAGCGUGGGGAGCAAACAGG